CGGGGAAUUUUGGACAAUGGGCGCAAGCCUGAUCCAGCCAUGCCGCGUGCGGGAAGAAGGCCUUCGGGUUGUAAACCGCUUUUGUCAGGGAAGAAAUCUUCUGAGUUAAUACCUCGGGAGGAUGACGGUACCUGAAGAAUAAGCACCGGCUAACUACGUGCCAGCAGCCGCGGUAAUACGUAGGGUGCAAGCGUUAAUCGGAAUUACUGGGCGUAAAGCGUGCGCAGGCGGUUUUGUAAGACAGAGGUGAAAUCCCCGGGCUCAACCUGGGAACUGCCUUUGUGACUGCAAGGCUUGAGUGCGGCAGAGGGGGAUGGAAUUCCGCGUGUAGCAGUGAAAUGCGUAGAUAUGCGGAGGAACACCGAUGGCGAAGGCAAUCCCCUGGGCCUGCACUGACGCUCAUGCACGAAAGCGUGGGGAGCAAACAGGAUUAGAUACCCUGGUAGUCCACGCCCUAAACGAUGUCAACUGGUUGUUGGGAAGGUUCCUUCUCAGUAACGUAGCUAACGCGUGAAGUUGACCGCCUGGGGAGUACGGCCGCAAGGUU
rnacentral:rRNA from 1 species